AUGAGGAGCCAACAGAACAGAGUGGAGCAGAGUCCUGGAUCUCGGAGUGUUCCAGAGGGAGCCACUGCCUCUCUCAACUGCACUUAUAGUGACAGUGCUUCCAACUACUUCACAUGGUAUAGACAGUAUUCUGGGAAAGGUCCUGAGUUGCUGGUGUACAUAUACUCCAAUGGUGAGAAGGAUGAAGGAAGAUUUACAGCGCAGCACAAUAAAGUCAGCCAGUAUGUCUCUCUGCUCAUCAGAGAUUCCCAGCCCAGCGACUCAGCCACCUACCUCUGUGCAGUGAGCACACAGUGCUCCCCCAGCACCUGCAGUCUGUACCCAAACAUGCUGGGGCCCCACAAAUGUCUGAUACAGAGGUUAGGCUGCAAGGCAGAGAAAAUUCUGUUAGCUGUCUAG